AUUUAUUAUUUUGACGUUUGAUAAAAGUUGCCGAUUUGACUGGUAGGCACCACCAUCUUUUAAUAUUUAUUUUUCCUUUACACCAUAAGGGCAUAAUCACAUUGGAGUUCUGGCUUCUCAUCACAAUCUGAAGAUAUUUUCCUCGUUUUCAUUUGAAAGAACCUGACGAAAAUCCAUAUUAAUUAAUUUUACUUAUUUGAAUUUGAAAGUGUCUUUCUGUUACUUUUUCAUGGUCCACCUGUUUAAUUGAUUUUGACCACAUUUGGUACAGAGACAGCUUGCAUCCUGAAAACUGACAUAGGAUACUUUUUAUCCUUGAAAAUGGAAGAUCCCAUUGGGUUUUAUAAAACACCCUUAGUCAACUGAGUCAUUAGUAUUAGUUACGAUAAAACUUCUGAGCUUUCUGAAACUCAAGUCCUUAUAUAACUUAAAUAACUUAUUAAAAACUUAUAAAUCUAUAAAAAAGGUAACUUAUACUUUAGGAUGAUAAGUAAUUUUAUAUAAGAGUUAAUUUGGCGAUAUUACUUACUGAAAAACCAGUUACAUACAAUCAAUGUGAAACUUUAAAUAGUUCCAGCAUCUGCAAUACCUAAUGCUCAAUGCAAAUCUAAAGUUUUUUUUUUUUUAAUUAUAUAGACUAGCGCUUGGCUGCAAUCAGGCUCGCUAGCAAGUGAUGAUGCAGCCUAAGAUGGAGCGCGCUUGCCUAGAAGUUGCCUAUUCACUCUUGACAUGAAGGUGGAAGCGAAAACUGAUGCCGGAAGGACGUUCCAUAUCCUUCAUCAUUCCAUAGUUACCCACAGUGAUGUGCUUAAAGUUUUUUGUAUAUCUAAAUUAUCACAAAUUAUAAUGCCAUCCAAUAAAAAUAAAAAGUGAUAAAAAAUAAAAAAGCAAUUUACCAGAAACCAGUUUAGUAUAACUGGUUUCCCUUCUAUAAGAUAAGUAACUACCUAUUAAGAAACAAAUAA